UACGUAGGGUCCGAGCGUUGUCCGGAAUUAUUGGGCGUAAAGGGCUCGUAGGCGGUUUGUCGCGUCGGGAGUGAAAUCCACUGGCUUAACUGGUGGCUUGCUUUCGAUACGGGCAGGCUCGAGUUCGGUAGGGGAGACUGGAAUUCCUGGUGUAGCGGUGAAAUGCGCAGAUAUCAGGAGGAACACCGGUGGCGAAGGCGGGUCUCUGGGCCGAUACUGACGCUGAGGAGCGAAAGCGUGGGGAGCGAACAGG
rnacentral:rRNA from 1 species